rnacentral:rRNA from 1 species
UGUGUAGGUGGUUGUCAUAGUCAGGUGUGAAAGCCUUGAGCUCAACUCAAGAAAUGCACUUGAUACUGGGCAGCUAGAGGACCGGAGAGGAUAGUGGAAUUCCCAGUGUAGUGGUGAAAUACGUAGAGAUUGGGAAGAACACCAGUGGCGAAGGCGGCUAUCUGGACGGUUUCUGACACUAAGACACGAAAGCGUGGGGAGCAAACA